GACGAACGCUGGCGGCGUGCUUAACACAUGCAAGUCGAACGGAAAGGCCCUGCUUGCAGGGUACUCGAGUGGCGAACGGGUGAGUAACACGUGGGUGAUCUGCCCUGCACUUCGGGAUAAGCCUGGGAAACUGGGUCUAAUACCGGAUAGGAGCCAUUUUUAGUGUGAUGGUUGGAAAGUUUUUUCGGUGUAGGAUGAGCUCGCGGCCUAUCAGCUUGUUGGUGGGGUAAUGGCCUACCAAGGCGGCGACGGGUAGCCGGCCUGAGAGGGUGGACGGCCACAUUGGGACUGAGAUACGGCCCAGACUCCUACGGGAGGCAGCAGUGGGGAAUAUUGCACAAUGGGCGAAAGCCUGAUGCAGCGACGCCGCGUGGGGGAUGACGGCCUUCGGGUUGUAAACUCCUUUCGCUAGGGACGAAGCUUUUUGUGACGGUACCUAGAUAAGAAGCACCGGCUAACUACG
rnacentral:rRNA from 1 species